GUGUCUACUCUUCUGGACAUAGCGGUCCUCUCUCCCUGUGAUGUGAGUCCUCUGGAAAGCCAGAGGGGCCAUCCUGGUGGAGAGGAGAGAGCUGUGUGUGACCAAGGACAUCAUGCCAACGCUAAGACGUUCCCUUCCUCUGCCUCUUCGCGCUUCUUCAUCACUGAAGGAGCCAUCGGGCCAGCACAGCAGGGCCCCAAGACACAAGGGGUGGAGGGAGAAAUCCGCCCUGCAGAUACUGAGGCUGGGCGCUGGUGGAGGAAGACGAGAGAUGAAUCACGAGCCCAGCCGCCUCGUUAGACAGUAUGACACUCAUCGCAGGACAACCGAAUCUGUUCGAGGAUCAUCAGCCGUCGGUGGACAGAGUCUUCGGUGGACAGAGAUGCUAUCUGAAUCGCUCCUGU